rnacentral:misc_RNA from 1 species
AACAAUUUCUGGCUAUUUCUUUCCCUGUUUGCGAACGAGGCUUUUUGCUUCCUUUUCAAAAGCUUCUCCAGAUCUUUUGAAUCCACCAAACUCGAGAAAGAAAGAAGAAGAAGAAGAAGAAGAGAAGGAGGAGGAGAAAAUGAAUAAUUCUGUUUCGGAUCAGAGCUUUUACAUAGAAAGUGAUGAGGAGGAUGACGAGAGGGAACUUAACAGAGGUGGAGAAGGUGAAGACAACGACGGAAAUCGAUCAGAUUCCGAUGAUUCUUUAGCUGAUAACCGGCAGCAGAG